UGGGACCAACCAAGAUGAGUGCCUGUAGCA
rnacentral:piRNA from 1 species